AUGAUGCCCAGCUUGCUGGGUGGAUUAGUGGCGAACGGGUGAGUAACACGUGAGUAACCUGCCCCUGACUCUGGGAUAAGCGUUGGAAACGACGUCUAAUACUGGAUAUGACUGCUGGUCGCAUGGCCUGGUGGUGGAAAGAUUUUUUGGUUGGGGAUGGACUCGCGGCCUAUCAGCUUGUUGGUGAGGUAAUGGCUCACCAAGGCGACGACGGGUAGCCGGCCUGAGAGGGUGACCGGCCACACUGGGACUGAGACACGGCCCAGACUCCUACGGGAGGCAGCAGUGGGGAAUAUUGCACAAUGGGCGAAAGCCUGAUGCAGCAACGCCGCGUGAGGGAUGACGGCCUUCGGGUUGUAAACCUCUUUUAGUAGGGAAGAAGCGAAAGUGACGGUACCUGCAGAAAAAGCACCGGCUAACUACGUGCCAGCAGCCGCGGUAAUACGUAGGGUGCAAGCGUUGUCCGGAAUUAUUGGGCGUAAAGAGCUCGUAGGCGGUUUGUCGCGUCUGCUGUGAAAUCCCGAGGCUCAACCUCGGGCUUGCAGUGGGUACGGGCAGACUAGAGUGCGGUAGGAGAGAUUGGAAUUCCUGGUGUAGCGGUGGAAUGCGCAGAUAUCAGGAGGAACACCGAUGGCGAAGGCAGAUCUCUGGGCCGUAACUGACGCUGAGGAGCGAAAGCGUGGGGAGCGAACAGGAUUAGAUACCCUGGUAGUCCACGCCGUAAACGUUGGGCGCUAGAUGUAGGACCUUUCCACGGGUUUCUGUGUCGUAGCUAACGCAUUAAGCGCCCCGCCUGGGGAGUA
rnacentral:rRNA from 1 species